rnacentral:rRNA from 1 species
UACGUAGGGACCAAGCGUUGUUCGGAUUUACUGGGCGUAAAGGGCGCGUAGGCGGUCUUGUCAGUCCCUUGUGAAAUCCCCCCGGCUCAACUGGGGAACUGCAAGGGAAACAGCAGGGCUUGAGUUCGGGAGAGGGAAGCGGAAUUCCGGGUGUAGCGGUGAAAUGCGUAGAUAUCCGGAGGAACACCGGUGGCGAAGGCGGGUCUCUGGGCCAGUAACUGACGCUGAGGAGCGAAAGCGUGGGGAGCGAACAGG